UACGUAGGGCGCAAGCGUUGUCCGGAAUUAUUGGGCGUAAAGAGCUCGUAGGCGGCUUGUCACGUCGAUUGUGAAAGCCCGAGGCUUAACCUCGGGUCUGCAGUCGAUACGGGCUAGCUAGAGUGUGGUAGGGGAGAUCGGAAUUCCUGGUGUAGCGGUGAGAUGCGCAGAUAUCAGGAAGAACACCCGUGGCGAAGGCGGCUCUCUGGGACGGUACUGACGCUGAGACGCGAAAGCGUGGGGAGCGAACAGG
rnacentral:rRNA from 1 species